CCAUGGCUUUAGGGGUAUUCUGUGAAGAAUUGAGAUAAACCCUUUGAACCUGAUCCGGCUGAUACCGGUGUAGGGAAAAGUUGGAAUUUAUUU
rnacentral:ncRNA from 2 species